rnacentral:tRNA from 1 species
AACUGGAUCGCCUAGUGGUCAAAGGCAGCACUUCUAGCAAUGAUGGGGUCCCAGGUUCAAAUCCUGGUCUGGUCA